rnacentral:rRNA from 1 species
CCUACGGGAGGCAGCAGUGAGGAAUAUUGGUCAAUGGCCGGAAGGCUGAACCAGCCAUGCCGCGUGAAGGUCAGUGCCCUAUGGGCGUUAAACUUCUUUUGUGCGGGAGCAAUAAUGGUCACGUGUGGCCAGACGAGAGUACCGUACGAAUAAGCAUCGGCUAACUCCGUGUACGCAGCCGCGGUAAUACGGGGGAUGCAAGCGUUAUCCGGAUUUAUUGGGGGUAAAGGGUGAAUAGGCUGGGAGGUAAGUCAGCGGUGAAAUGCCCCCGCGCAACGGGGUGAAGUGCCAUUGAUACUGGCUUGCUGGAGUGCGGAUGCCGUGAGAGGAAUGUGUGGUGUAGCGGUGAAAUGCAUAGAUAUCACACAGAACACCGAUUGCGAAGGCAUCUCACGAAUCCGCGAUUGACGCUGAUGCACGAAAGCGUGGGUAUCAAACAGGAGUAGAUACCCCAGUAGUC